rnacentral:rRNA from 1 species
UGGGGAAUAUUGCACAAUGGGCGAAAGCCUGAUGCAGCAACGCCGCGUGAGUGAUGAAGGCCUUCGGGUUGUAAAGCUCUGUCUUUUGGGACGAUAAUGACGGUACCAAAGGAGGAAGCCACGGCUAACUACGUGCCAGCAGCCGCGGUAAUACGUAGGUGGCAAGCGUUGUCCGGAUUUACUGGGCGUAAAGGAUGCGUAGGCGGAUUUUUAAGUGAGAUGUGAAAACCCUAAGCUUAACUUGGGGACUGCAUUUCAUACUGGAAAUCUAGAGUGCGGGAGAGGAGAAUGGAAUUCCUAGUGUAGCGGUGAAAUGCGUAGAGAUUAGGAAGAACACCAGUGGCGAAGGCGAUUCUCUGGACCGUAACUGACGCUGAGGCAUGAAAGCGUGGGUAGCAAACAGGAUUAGAUACCCUGGUAGUCCACGCCGUAAACGAUGAGUACUAGGUGUAGGAGGUAUCGACCCCUUCUGUGCCGCAGUUAACACAAUAAGUACUCCGCCUGGGAAGUACGAUCGCAAGAUUAAAACUCAAAUGAAUUGACGGGGUCAUAGCUGUUUUU